UUGAAGAGUUUGAUCAUGGCUCAGAUUGAACGCUGGCGGCAGGCCUAACACAUGCAAGUCGAGCGGUAGCACAGAAGAGCUUGCUCUUCGGGUGACGAGCGGCGGACGGGUGAGUAAUGUCUGGGAAACUGCCUGAUGGAGGGGGAUAACUACUGGAAACGGUAGCUAAUACCGCAUAACGUCUUCGGACCAAAGAGGGGGACCUUCGGGCCUCUUGCCAUCGGAUGUGCCCAGAUGGGAUUAGCUAGUAGGUGAGGUAAUGGCUCACCUAGGCGACGAUCCCUAGCUGGUCUGAGAGGAUGACCAGCCACACUGGAACUGAGACACGGUCCAGACUCCUACGGGAGGCAGCAGUGGGGAAUAUUGCACAAUGGGCGCAAGCCUGAUGCAGCCAUGCCGCGUGUGUGAAGAAGGCCUUCGGGUUGUAAAGCACUUUCAGCGGGGAGGAAGGCGAUAAGGUUAAUAACCUUGUCGAUUGACGUUACCCGCAGAAGAAGCACCGGCUAACUCCGUGCCAGCAGCCGCGGUAAUACGGAGGGUGCAAGCGUUAAUCGGAAUGACUGGGCGUAAAGCGCACGCAGGCGGUCUGUUAAGUUGGAUGUGAAAUCCCCGGGCUUAACCUGGGAACUGCAUUCAAAACUGACAGGCUAGAGUCUUGUAGAGGGGGGUAGAAUUCCAGGUGUAGCGGUGAAAUGCGUAGAGAUCUGGAGGAAUACCGGUGGCGAAGGCGGCCCCCUGGACAAAGACUGACGCUCAGGUGCGAAAGCGUGGGGAGCAAACAGGAUUAGAUACCCUGGUAGUCCACGCUGUAAACGAUGUCGACUUGGAGGUUGUGCCCUUGAGGCGUGGCUUCCGGAGCUAACGCGUUAAGUCGACCGCCUGGGGAGUACGGCCGCAAGGUUAAAACUCAAAUGAAUUGACGGGGGCCCGCACAAGCGGUGGAGCAUGUGGUUUAAUUCGAUGCAACGCGAAGAACCUUACCUACUCUUGACAUCCACAGAAUUUGGUAGAGAUACCUUAGUGCCUUCGGGAACUGUGAGACAGGUGCUGCAUGGCUGUCGUCAGCUCGUGUUGUGAAAUGUUGGGUUAAGUCCCGCAACGAGCGCAACCCUUAUCCUUUGUUGCCAGCACGUAAUGGUGGGAACUCAAAGGAGACUGCCGGUGAUAAACCGGAGGAAGGUGGGGAUGACGUCAAGUCAUCAUGGCCCUUACGAGUAGGGCUACACACGUGCUACAAUGGCGUAUACAAAGAGAAGCGAACUCGCGAGAGCAAGCGGACCUCAUAAAGUACGUCGUAGUCCGGAUUGGAGUCUGCAACUCGACUCCAUGAAGUCGGAAUCGCUAGUAAUCGUAGAUCAGAAUGCUACGGUGAAUACGUUCCCGGGCCUUGUACACACCGCCCGUCACACCAUGGGAGUGGGUUGCAAAAGAAGUAGGUAGCUUAACCUUCGGGAGGGCGCUUACCACUUUGUGAUUCAUGACUGGGGUGAAGUCGUAACAAGGUAACCGUAGGGGAACCUGCGGUUGGAUCACCUCCUUA
rnacentral:rRNA from 1 species